AGUAGCUCAGUUGGUAGUAGCAUCUGACUGUUAAUCAGAGGGUCGUAGGUUCGAGUCCUACCU
rnacentral:tRNA from 1 species